AGUUUAUAAAAAUUCCAAGUAAAGCAGUACUUCUGAUGAAAUUGGCCAGAUGUAACAUGGCCAAGAUGCCAGCUCUGUGUGGGUGGGUGUAACGGAGCCACAUGGGGCCAGGUCUGGCGAGGAUGGCAAGAGACAUCUGGGGAGACACGUGGACAUGGGAGUGGACAGCUUGGAGGCACCGCGGCAUAACAGAUCUUCCCAACAACUGAGCAUCGCAAGAGAAAAGGGAAGUUCCUCAGCACAUCUCUCCCAUCUCCUGCCUUCCUGAAACUCAGGACAAGAAAGUAGAUUUGUGUCCGACUCUUUGUGAUGCCAAGGACUGCAGCCCACCAGGCUCACCUGUCCAUGGAAUUUUCCAGUAACAAAGCUUUUGAACUGUGGUGUUGGAGAAGACUCUUGAGAGUCCCUUGACAGCAAGAAGAUCCAACCAGUCCAUUCUUAAGGAGAUCAGUCCUGGGAGUUCUUUGGAAGGAAUGAUGCUAAAGCUGAAUCUCCAAUACUUUGGCCACCUCAUGUGAAGAGUUGACUUAUUGGAAAAGACUGAUGCUGGGAGGGACUGGGGGCAGGAGAAGAAGGGGACGACAGAGGAUGAGAUGGUUGGAUGGCAUCACCGACUCGAUGGACAUGAGUUUGAGUAUACUCUGGGAGUUGGUGAUGGACAGGGAGGCCUGGAGUGCUACAGUCCAUGGGGUUGCAAAGAGUCGGACACGACUGAGCGACUGAACUGAACAACUAGAAAGUGAAAUUUAAAAAUAAGAUGCCAUUUAUCAUUGUUCCCAAGAACACCAAAAGCUCCAGGUUCGAUGCAGGAUACAGGAAGCCUGGGGCUGGUGCACUGGGAUGACCC
ensembl:lncRNA